rnacentral:rRNA from 1 species
UCCUACGGGAGGCAGCAGUAGGGAAUUUUCGGCAAUGGGGGAAACCCUGACCGAGCNCNCCGCGUGGGGGAAGAAGGCCUUCGGGUUGUAAACCUCUGUCUUUGGGGACGAUAAUGACGGUACCCGAGGAGGAAGCCCCGGCUAACUACGUGCCAGCAGCCGCGGUAAUACGUAGGGGGCGAGCGUUGUCCGGAAUCACUGGGCGUAAAGGGCGUGUAGGCGGCCUGUUAAGUCAGGCGUGAAAACCCCGGGCUUAACCUGGGGACUGCGCUUGAAACUGGCGGGUUUGAGGGCAGGAGAGGAAAGUGGAAUUCCCGGUGUAGCGGUGAUAUGUGUAGAUACCGGGAGGAACCCCAGUGGGGAAGGCGGCUUUCUGGACUGCACCUGACGCUGAGGCGCGAAAGCCAGGGGAGCGAACGGGAUUAGAUACCCCGGUAGUCCCGCCCGUAAACGAUGGGUACUAGGUGUGGGAGGUAUCGACUCCUUCCGUGCNGNAGUUAACNCAAUAAGUNCC